GGGGGGGGGGAGUGUUCUAACUUCAAGUGGCCAAAACUGUCUUUUCAUAGAAUCCUGUUCCUCACUGCUACGUCUUUUUCAUCGCAAACAUAGCUUUUAAAGAAGAAAAUAUGUAUCAAGUUGCAACCCCCGGCCCACAGAUCAAGGCCAUCAUUACAAAUAACAAAACAUUUGUUUGUUACGUCCUAAAAUGUAUUUUCUGACUAUUGUCAAAAUCUCCAGAAACGGAGCCCACUUGUUUGUGCUACAAACAUAUUACAGUUUUUUAAAUGUUAUUAUCAUACUUGCCAACCUUGAGACCGACAAAUUUGGGAGAUGGGGGGGUUUUCAGGGUUUGGUGGUAGCAGGGGGUGUUUAUAGUAUCCAUCCAUCCAUUUCCUACCGCUUGUCCCUUUUGGGGUCACUGGAGCCUAUUUCAGCUGCAUUCGGACAGAAGGCGGUGUACACCCUGGACAAGUCGCCACCUCAUUGCAGGGCCAACACAGAUAGACAGACGCCAUUCACACACUAGGGACCAUUUAAUGUUGCCAAUCAACCUAUCCCCAGGUGCAUGUCUUUGGAGGUGGGAGGGGCCUAUCCCCAGGUGCAUGUCUUUGGAGGUGGGAGGGGCCUAUCCCCAGGUGCAUACCUUUGGAGGUGGUAGGGACCUAUCCCCAGGUGCAUGUCUUUGGAGGUGGGAGGGGCCUAUCCCCAGGUGCAUGUCUUUGGAGGUGGGAGGGGCCUAUCCCUAGGUGCAUACCUUUGGAGGUGGGAGGGGCCUAUCCCCAGGUGCAUGUCUUUGGAGGUGGGAGGGGCCUAUCCCCAGGUGCAUACCUUUGGAGGUGAGAGGGGAAUAUCCCCAGGUGCAUGUCUUUGGAGGUGGGAGGGGCCUAUCCCCAGGUGCAUAACUUUGGAGGUGGUAGGGCCUAUCCCUAGGUGCAUACCUCUUGGAGGUGGGAGGGGCCUAUCUCCAGGUACAUGCCUUUGGAGGUGGGAGGGGCCUAUAUCCAGAUGCAACCUUUGGAGGUGGGAGUGGCCUAUUCCCAGGUGCAUACUUUUGAAAGUGGGCGGGGGCUAUCCCCAGGUGCAUGUCUUUGGAGGUGGGAGGGGCCUACCCCCAGCUGCAACCUUUGAAAGUGGGCGGGGGCUAUCCCCAGGUGCAUGUCUUUGGAGGUGGGAGGGGCCUACCCCAGGUGCAUACCUUUGGAGGUGGGCGGGGCCUACCCCCAGCUGCAACCUUUGGAGGUGGGCGGGGCCUAUCCCCAGGUGCAUGUCUUUGGAGGUGGGAGGGGCCUACCCCCAGCUGAAACCUUUGAAAGUGGGCGGGGGCUAUCCCCAGGUGCAUGUCUUUGGAGGUGGGAGGGGCCUACCCCAGGUGCAUACCUUUGGAGGUGGGCGGGGCCUACCCCCAGCUGCAACCUUUGGAGGUGGGCGGGGCCUAUCCCCAGGUGCAUGUCUUUGGAGGUGGGAGGAAGCCGGAGUACCCGGAGAGAACCCCCGCAGUCACGGGAGAACAUGAAAACUCCACAAAGAAAGAUCCUGAGCCCGGGAUUGAACCCAGGACCUUCGUAUUGUGAGGCAGAUGCACUAACCCCUAUUCCACAUUCACCCAUCCAUUCACACACACAUUCACACACUGAUGGAGGGAGCUGCCAUGCAAGGCGCUAACCAGGACCCAUCAGGAGCAAGGGUGAAGUGUCUUGCUCAAGGACACAACGGACAGGACUAGGAUGGUAGAAGGUGGGGAUUGAACCAGAAACUCUCAGGUUGCUGCGUCCCCAAUUAUAGUAGUGUCCCGGAAGAGUUAGCGCUGCAAGGGGUUCUGGGUAUUUGUCCUGUUGUGUUUAUGUGUUACGGUGUGGAUGUUCUCCCGAAAUGUGUUGGUCAUUCUUGUUUGGUGUGGGUUCACAGUGUGGCGCAUAUUUGUAACAGUGUUAAAGUUGUUUAUACGGCCACCCUCAGCGUGACCUGUAUGGCUGUUGACCAAGUAUGCCUUGCAUUCACUUACGUGUGUGUCAGAGCCGCAUAUAUUUGUGCUGUUUGUACGGAGGAAAAGCGGGCGUGACGACAGGUUGUAGAGGACGCCCAAGCCACGCCCCCAAUAUUGUUGGAAACCGGGAGAAUGGUUGCCCCGGGAGAUUUUCGGGAGGGGCACUGAAAUUCGGGAGUCUCCUGGGGAAAUCGGAAGGGUUGGCAAGUAUGAGUAUUAUUCAUAAACAUUUGUGCGACAAUUUUUUGGAUUAUUUUUAACUAUUAUAAUUUUUAUACAAUACUAACCUCUUAAUUCAGGAGUCGGCAACCCAAAACGUUGAAAUAGCCGAAUUGGACCACAAACACAAAAAAGCUAAUUUGUCUGGAGCUGCAAAAAAUUUUAAAUACUAAUAAAAGCGUUAUAAUGAAGGCAACACGUGCUAAUUAGUUAUAUUAGCCUACUAUCAAAAAUGACUGUGUGGCAUUUGAUUGGUUUCUGUGUUGAUGUUGAAAUAUAAUAUUUAUUCUACACAUUUUUACACAACUUCUCAGAGGGUGACAUAACUCCUGGAAAUGACUUAGAAUAGUGUGUCCAAGUUUAAGGAAACAUCAGGCUGUCUUCUUCUAUUUAUUAUUACAAUCUUUGCAAGCUGGGUAACAUUUCCUGUGGUCUGGAACAACAUGGCGCACAAACAACAACUAUGAGAAAUGCAGCUAAUAUAACUCAGAUAAUAUGUCAUGAGGCAUGCAAAUAUAAACUAAAUACACAGAGGACAUAAAUAAGCUCAAAUAUAGCUACAAAUGAGGCAUGAUGAUGCAAUAUGUACAUACAGCUAGCCUAAAUAGCAUGUUAGCAUUGAUUAGCUCGCAGUCAUGCAGUUAGCAAAUAUGCCUGAUUGGCACUCCACACAAGUCAAUGACAUCAACAUUCACGUACAGUAUAAAACGGUUGGUGGACAAAAUCAGUAACGUCACAGUCCACACUAUGGUGAGUUCAGGAACCGCCGAAAUUAGUCCUCAAACAAAAAAACAUACUAAACCAAAACAAUUAUUCCAACCCCCGACCCCCACCCCUUUUUUUUUUUACAUUUUCAGUCCUUUUUAAAAAAAUGCUCCUAGGAGCCACUAGGGCGGCGCUAACCCCCGAGUUAGACGAAAAAAUGUGCACCUCGAGGGCUUAGGACCGGUUUGGGGAGAUUUUGACAAGGUUAUGAAUAAUAAAACGUGAAUAACAUUAAAUGUUAACAUAAAAACUACAACAGUAAGACAAACUGUUGCGGCACAAACGAAUGGCUCGAGUUUGGGGAGAGUUUGACAAUAAUAACUGAUUUAACGACAAAAAGUAUAAAACUUAACAAAACAAGAAGUGGAAAAGAAAUUGCAGCACUAAAAAAUGUGACAAGGUGGGGGCUUGUUAUCAAUAAUAUCUUGAUCAUAUAAAAACUAAUUGGACAAAACAUUUUUGGAAAGAUUAUGACAAGGUGGUUAUGAAUAACAAGACAGUAAGAACAUAAAAACUAUAAUGUUUGUAAAAACACCAACAAAUGUGACAGUUCCAGAGAUUGGGUUAUGGUGUAAUUACACAUUAAUAAUGGAUUUUAUUUGUAAAAAGCACUUUCCAUUGAGCAAACAACCUGAAAGUGCUACACUGUAUUACAAAAAUAAAUAAAAAGAUGAUAAAAAUGAAUAAAAACUACAAUUUGCACGCACUUUUAAUUUAAAAACACAUAAAAAGAUAAUAAAAUAAAUAAAAACUACAACUCGCACGCACUUUUAAUUUUCCCGAAAGAACUCUCCUGAAGGAAUAAGUAAAGUACUAUCUAUCUAUCUAUUUAAAAAGAAGGGGUUUAAGCCUUUUUAAAAAGCCUUUACAGUCUGUGGUGCCCUCAGGAGGUCAGGGAGAAGAACUCUCCUGAAGGAAUAAGUAAAGUACUAUCUAUCUAUCUAUUUAAAAAGAAGGGGUUUAAGCCUUUUUUAAAAGACUUUACAGUCUGUGGUGCCCUCAGGUGGUCAGGGAGAGCGUUCCACAGACUGGGAGCGGCGGAGCAGAACAUAAACCGACACAACGGGUUACGGUUUGAUUACACGUUAUAAACUCGUGACAAAGACAAACCAUUUGACAAGUUUGAGGGAGCCAUCGACAAAGUGAAGGGGCUGGAUGAUGUCACUUGGUAGAAAAGGUCUUCCGGAAGGACUUGAAACCCCUUUUUAUCACAAACGUAGAACAAAGCAAGGCAGCGCUACUUUCAUAUUUGCAAUAAUAAGGGGCGUCAACUUCACAGGAGUGAGAAUGUCAGGCCACAACAUUAGGUACACCUGCACAAUCUAAAUCAGGGGUGUCCAAACUUUUUCCUCUGAGGGCUGCACACUGAAAAAUCAUUUUUAUUUUAAAAACCAAUACAAUAUGUGUAUAAAAAAUAUACAUUUAGGCCUCCACUCAGUUAUGAUCCCGGGGACCCCAAAGGGUCUUGGUAAAAAACAAUAUUAAAAAUGUGUCAUUAUUCAAUAUUAUUAUUUUCAUUAUUAUUCAAGUUUUAAAUCUCUAGAUCAACAUAAGGAAAAAAAUGGAAAAAAAAACCACAAAAUAUGCAAUAUUUUCACCCGAUAACAUUUUUUUAGGUGGAAUAUUUGAGAUUAUAUAAUAAUUGGAGCCUUAAUUUGGGAUUUUGAUUCAUUAUUAUUUUUGGAGCAAUGACACUUAAAAACAAAUCACACUAAAAUAAUCGGGGAUCCAAAAGUGUCCUCAUUAAAGUGUAAAAAAAUCAAUUAUAUAUUUUUUUGUAGUUUACUUUUAGCACAAUAAUCUCCAGAUCAACUUCAGAUCUAUCCGUCAAUUAUUAGUUUCAUUGUUGUUUAUGUUUUUUGUUUGUUUUAGGAUCUUCUUUAAAAAAAUAAAUAAAAUAAAAAACACAAAUUAUGCAAUAUUUUCACCCGAUAACAUUUUUUUAGGUGGAAUAUUUGAGAUUAUAUAAUAAUUAGAGCCUUAAUUUGGGAUUUUGAUUCAUUAUUAUUUUUGGAGCAAUGACACUUAAAAACAAAUCACACUAAAAUAAUCGGGGAUCCAAAAGUGUCCUCAUUAAAGUGUUAAAAAAUCAAUUAUAUAUAUUUUUUUACUGUUUACUAUUAGCACAAUAAUCUCAAAAUCAACUUCAGAUCUAUCCGUCAAUUAUUAGUUUCAUCGUUCUUUAUGUUUUUUGUUUGUUUUAGGCCCUUCUUUAAAAACAAAAACAAAAUAUGCAAUAUUUUCACACGAUAACAUUUUUUAGGUGGAAUAUUUGAGAUUAUAUAAUAAUUGGAGCCUUAAUUUUGGAUUUUGAUUCAUUAUUAUUUUUGGAGCAAUGACACUUAAAAACAAAUCACACUAAAAUAAUCGGGGAUCCAAAAGUGUCCUCAUUAAAGUUUAAAAAAAUCAAUUAUAGAUUUUUUUUACUGUUUACUUUUAGCACAAUAAUCUCAAGAUCAACUUCAGAUCCAUCCGUCAAUUAUUAGUUUCAUCGUUCUUUAUGUUUUUUGUUUGUUUUAGGCCCUUCUUUAAAAAAAAACACAAAAUAUGCAAUAUUUUCACCCGCUAACAUUUUUUUAGGUGGAAUAUUUGAGAUUAUAUAAUAAUUGGAGCCUUAAUUUUGGAUUUUGAUUCAUUAUUAUUUUUGGAGCAAUGACACUUAAAAACAAAUCACACUAAAAUAAUCGGGGAUCCAAAAGUGUCCUCAUUAAAGUGUAAAAAAAAUAAAUUAUAUAUUUUUUUACUGUUUACUUUUAGCACAAUAAUCUCAAGAUCAACUUCAGAUCAAUCCGUCAAUUAUUAGUUUCAUCGUUGUUUAUGUUUUUUGUUUGUUUUAGGAUCUUCUUUAAAAAAAUAAAAAAAAUAAAAAACACAAAUUAUGCAAUAUUUUCACCCGCUAACAUUUUUUUAGGUGGAAUAUUUGAGAUGAUAUAAUAAUUAGAGCCUUAAUUUGGGAUUUUGAUUCAUUAUUAUUUUUGUAGCAAUGACACUUAAAAACAAAUCACACUAAAAUAAUUGGGGGUCCAAAAGUGUCCUCAUUAAAGUUUAAAAAAAAUAAAUUAUAUAUUUUUUUGUACCGUUUACUUUUAGCACAAUAAUCUCAAAAUCAACUUCAGAUCCAUCCGUCAAUUAUUAGUUUCAUCGUUGUUUAUUUUUUUUGUUUGUUUUAGGCCCUUCUUUAAAAAAAAAAACACAAAAUAUGCAAUAUUUUCAAUUGAUAACAUUUUUUUAGGUGUAAUAUUUGAGAUUAUAUAAUAAUUGGAGCCUUAAUUUUAGAUUUUGAUUCAUUAUUAUUUUUGGAGCAAUGACACUUAAAAACAAAUCACACAAAAAUAAUCGGGGAUCCAAAAGUGUCCUCAUUAAAGUGUUAAAAAAUAAAUUAUAUAUAUUUUUGUACUGUUUAUUUUUAGCACAAUAAUCUCAAGAUCAACUUCAGAUCUAUCCGUCAAUUAUUAGUUUCAUUGUUUAUGUUUUUUGUUUGUUUUAGGCCCUUCUUUAAAAACAAAAACAAAAUAUGCAAUAUUUUCACACGAUAACAUUUUUUAGGUGGAAUAUUUGAGAUUAUAUAAUAAUUGGAGCCUUAAUUUGGGAUUUUGAUUCAUUAUUAUUUUUGGAGCAAUGACACUUAAAAACAAAUCACACUAAAAUAAUCGGGGAUCCAAAAGUGUCCUCAUUAAAGUGUAAAAAAAUAAAUUAUAUAUUUUUUUACUGUUUACUUUUAGCACAAUAAUCUCAAUAUCAACUUCAGAUCUAUCCGUCAAUUAUUAGUUUUAUUGUUGUUUAUUGUUUUUUGUUUGUUUUAGGCCCUUCUUUAAAAAAAAAAAAAAAAACACAAAAUAUGCAAUAUUUUCACCCGAUAACAUUUUUUUAGGUGGAAUAUUUGAGAUUAUAUAAUAAUUGGAGCCUUAAUUUUGGAUUUUGAUUCAUUAUUAUUUUUGGAGCAAUGACACUUAAAAACAAAUCACACUAAAAUAAUCGGGGAUCCAAAAGUGUCCUCAUUAAAGUGUAAAAAAAAUAAA